rnacentral:rRNA from 2 species
UAUGACGGUAUUUAACCAGAAAGCCACGGCUACUACGUGCCAGCAGCCGCGGUAAUACGUAGGUGGCAAGCGUUGUCCGGAUUUAUUGGGCGUAAAGCGAGCGCAGGCGGUUUUUUAAGUCUGAUGUGAAAGCCUUUCGGCUCAACCGAAGAAAGUGCAUCGGAAACUGGGAAACUUGAGUGCAGAAGAGGACAGUGGAACUCCAUGUGUAGCGGUGAAAUGCGUAGAUAUAUGGAAGAACACCAGUGGCGAAGGCGGCUGUCUGGUCUGUAACUGACGCUGAGGCUCGAAAGUAUGGGUAGCAAACAGGAUUAGAUACCCUGGUAGUCCAUACCGUAAACGAUGAAUGCUAAGUGUUGGAGGGUUUCCGCCCUUCAGUGCUGCAGCUAACGCAUUAAGCAUUCCGCCUGGGGAGUACGGCCGCAAGGCUGAAACUCAAAGGAAUUGACGGGGGCCCGCACAAGCGGUGGAGCAUGUGGUUUAAUUCGAAGCUACGCGAAGAACCUUACCAGGUCUUGACAUACUAUGCAAAUCUAAGAGAUUAGACGUUCCCUUCGGGGACAUGGAUACAGGUGGUGCAUGGUUGUCGUCAGCUCGUGUCGUGAGAUGUUGGGUUAAGUCCCGCAACGAGCGCAACCCUUAUUAUCAGUUGCCAGCAUUAAGUUGGGCACUCUGGUGAGACUGCCGGUGACAAACCGGAGGAAGGUGGGGAUGACGUCAAAUCAUCAUGCCCCUUAUGACCUGGGCUACACACGUGCUACAAUGGAUGGUACAACGAGUUGCGAACUCGCGAGAGUAAGCUAAUCUCUUAAAGCCAUUCUCAGUUCGGAUUGUAGGCUGCAACUCGCCUACAUGAAGUCGGAAUCGCUAGUAAUCGCGGAUCAGCAUGCCGCGGUGAAUACGUUCCCGGGCCUUGUACACACCGCCCGUCACACCAUGAGAGUUUGUAACACCCAAAGUCGGUGGGGUAACCUUUU